UUAUUGGAGAGUUUGAUCCUGGCUCAGGACGAACGCUGGCGGCGUGCCUAAUACAUGCAAGUCGAGCGGAGUUUAUCCUUCGGGAUAAGCUUAGCGGCGGACGGGUGAGUAACACGUAGGCAACCUACCCUCUAGACUGGGAUAACUACCGGAAACGGUAGCUAAUACCGGAUAAUUCCUUGACCCACCUGGGAGAAGGAUGAAAGGCGGAGCAAUCUGCUGCUAGAGGAUGGGCCUGCGGCGCAUUAGCUAGUUGGUGGGGUAACGGCCUACCAAGGCGACGAUGCGUAGCCGACCUGAGAGGGUGAACGGCCACACUGGGACUGAGACACGGCCCAGA
rnacentral:rRNA from 1 species